UACGAAGGGGGCUAGCGUUGCUCGGAAUUACUGGGCGUAAAGGGCGCGUAGGCGGACAGUUUAGUCAGAGGUGAAAGCCCAAGGCUCAACCUUGGAAUUGCCUUUGAUACUGGCUGUCUUGAGUUCGGGAGAGGUGAGUGGAACUGCGAGUGUAGAGGUGAAAUUCGUAGAUAUUCGCAAGAACACCAGUGGCGAAGGCGGCUCACUGGCCCGAUACUGACGCUGAGGUGCGAAAGCGUGGGGAGCAAACAGG
rnacentral:rRNA from 1 species